rnacentral:rRNA from 1 species
AACCGUAGUGGCGAGUGGCGAACGGGUGAGUAAUACAUCGGAACGUGCCCAGUCGUGGGGGAUAACGUAGCGAAAGCUACGCUAAUACCGCAUACGAUCUACGGAUGAAAGCGGGGGAUCGCAAGACCUCGCGCGAUUGGAGCGGCCGAUGGCAGAUUAGGUAGUUGGUGAGGUAAAGGCUCACCAAGCCGACGAUCUGCAGCUGGUCUGAGAGGACGACCAGCCACACUGGGACUGAGACACGGCCCAGACUCCUACGGGAGGCAGCAGUGGGGAAUUUUGGACAAUGGGCGAAAGCCUGAUCCAGCAAUGCCGCGUGCAGGAUGAAGGCCUUCGGGUUGUAAACUGCUUUUGUACGGAAACGAAAAAGCUUCUCCUAAUACGAGAGGCCCAUGACGGUACCGUAAAGAAUAACGCAACCGGUAAACUACGGUGCCAGCCAGCCGCGGUAAACACGUAAGGGUGNCGANGCGUAANAUCCGGGAAUUUCCACUGGGGGCCGUCACAAAGCGNUGACCGCCAGGCGGGACAUGUCAGACACGNGUGAAACCCCGGGGUUCCACCCUGGGGGGAAACCACUCGCAUUUUACGUCAACCUGG